CAUAAUAAUUUCUGAUAAUGUGUCUCUCUAGAGAGAGAAAAAAAGUAGGAAUAUCUAUUUUCGAAUUGGAAAGCAGCAGGACCAGUCAAGAGGUCAUUGACGGCGGUGGACAGUUUAUAGUUAUCCAUUCGUUUCUCAAAGAAUUGAAAUGACACCAGCGAUUUGAAUGAAAAGAAACCACUUAUUAGCAAUUAUCGAUCCCUCGACUGACACACACACACUCGCUUCAUCAUUAAACGAGAGAAAAUGUGAAUAACUUUUCGAAAGAGAGAGAAGUCAUUAAAGAUUCGAAAUUGAACUUCAACUUGGUCAAUUACAAUCCCAACAAUGACGACGACGACGACGACGAUCAGCAUUUCAUGAUGAAUUUCAAUGGUGAGGAGGAGAUGCAAUCCCAACAAGUCUUCGUUCGUCUCACUUUUCUGCACUACACGACCAUCUUCGUCUCACUUUUCUCUCAUCCAAUCCAUCAAGGGGGCCUGCAGGAAGGGUGUCAACCAGAGGAGGAAUCACUGCAGUAAUCAACAAAAGCUGGAUGCAUAUUAACGUAGAGUUCUCAAUGGUCCGGAUUGGUCCGGAUCAGCCCUGAUCCGAAACCGGACCGUGGCCCGAAACCACCAAUCCGAAACCGGACCGAAAAAUUUCCGUUCGGCCCAGAACCGGACCGGGACCAGACCAGGACCGGACCGGUCAAUCCGGGCGGACCGAAAAAUAUAUCAUUAUAGUAUAAAGACCCAUAGUACAGUAUAAUAAUUAUCACAUAUAGUAUGUAUAAAUAGUGCAUUGAGAUUUAUACACGUAUUAUGCAUAAAUGUCUUAUGUAACUAUGCAUAAAACAUAUGGUACAUGUAUAUAUAGCCAGAAUGCCAAAUUUUUCAGAUUUAAAUAGAUACAUGUAGCGGAUGAGGUCUCGUACAUAAGUUCUAUCGGUCAGUGAGUUUAUACACAUAAUCUCAGGACCAAUUUACAAUUUCAUUUUUUUAAUUUUAAAAAUACAUUAGCAAGAGUAGGAAUUUAAAAAAUCCUCCCAAAAUCAAGGAGCGUAAAAACUUUAAAACCUAAAAAACGUAAUUUUUAUGGAUCAUGUGGGAGCAAGGCCAAGUGUACUGUGCAAAUCCUUUUCGCAUCGAUGUCACCGAAUUUAAUUUAAAAAUUGCAAAUUGAAUUCAAGGUGCAAGGAUAUAUAUACCAUUACGAUUUUUGAAAUAUGUGCAUCUAACCCCCUUUCAAAAAUGGGGGAAGAAAAUUUGGAAAAAUGAGAAAGUCAAUGUACACUCCGUACAACAAGAGUGAGACAUCAACUUGCAUUUGACAUUCGAAAUCCCUCUUGAAUACGAGCACUUUUUUGUAUCAAGAGUUUCAAAAUUUGAAAAUUUGCGUUUUUUUACGUACAUACAAAUCCCCAAAAAACUCAUGGUUCCCACACUUUGCAGUCUGGCAACCUAAUGCCAGAAUUUUCUCCUUCGAAAGAUGAACAUUUUAAGCUUUUGUUGUCAGACUGCAAAGUGUGGGAACCAUGAGUUUUUUGGGGUCAAAGUUUCUGGGGGAGGGACUUAUUUUUGCAAGAGCCGUAACAAACUAUUAUCACUUAUGAGAAAAUGAGACAUAUAAUUGAACUUAUUAAAAUUUGUGAUAUCUGAAUUACUAAUUCGCCCCAAAUUUAAAAUUUAAGUUUUUUUGAAUUUAUAAUCUCGGUCAACAAUAUGCAAGAGUGAGAAGUGAGACAGACCACCAUACGGCACUGUAGCAACGACAGUCAGCAGUGGUGGUGGAUACCCACCAGAAUCAGAUUCUCACUCUGCCUCUCGCUAAAUAUGGAAAAGAGUUUUGUAGUACGCUUGGUCUGGUUCAGUUCGUGGAGAACUUUUGAAAUAUAUGUAACAUAGAAUUUGCGUACACUGAAAAUUCAUGAGUUUGGCUGAAAAAAUUCAAAAAUUCUAGGUCAAAGUAUUCAAAUUUUCUUGCGCGCCAAAAUAUUCGGGCGGACCGAAAACCGGCGGUCCGGUCCGGUCCUUGAAAAGCUGAUCCGAAACCGGACCGAGGACCGGACCGAAACUUUCGGUCCGGAUUGGCGGAUGGCCCAAUCCGGGACCGAACCGUCGGAUUUCGGUCCGGUCCGGGCUAACCCGAAGCCCAUUGAGAACCCUAGUAGAACGGUAUGAAAAUCGUAAAGUUUAAGGUUACAAUGGGUGUCGAUUUGAUGUGGGAUAGAUUUUUAAGCUCAAAUUACACUCUACCCGCAUUCUUUGCAUAUUUCGAAAAUGGUUCAAUUUUAACUUUUCAUACUUUACUGUAAGGUUAGUUUUGGCACUACGAAACGAUUAAUUUUAAACAAAUUGCUACUUCACGUGCCAUUUUUUCACAAUAAAUUCCCGCAAAAAUUUUUAAAAUCGAUAGUUUUGCAGUGCCAAAAAUUACCUUUACAUUAAAGUAGAAAAAAUUGCAUUUAUCUCAAAACUCAUGAAAUUUAUGCCAUUUUAGAAGUUUCAAUGUCAAUAAAUUACUACUUCUAAAUUGGCGAUGGAUUUUGGACACUGAUUCGCCAAGGAAAUUUCUAACUACAUCUCUUCUGCGGAGCUCCUCUUUGCCAAACAACAAAUAAAAACAAGUCACAAUAAAAUGCAUCAUAGAUAAUUAAAGUUGUUGUACAUGAGAAGAGUAGCAGGAGGAGGAGGAGCGGAAUGGUCAUCAUGUAAAUCAUGUGGAAGAAUCGAUAUUAAACUGCUCAAUAUCAAGUUAUUACCAGAAGCCGGAUAGGUAUUUAUUUACAACUUUUUCAUUUGAUGAUGACCACCGGUUUGUGGGUGUG